UAAAUCUCAAGGUAACAAGAUGAUGACC
rnacentral:piRNA from 1 species